CAGGUACAGCAGAUAGUGACUUGGCUUAUUUCAAGAGGAAAGUCCGGGCUGCUAUAAGACAGUGUUCCAUUUAACUAAUGGCCGUAGUAAUGCGAGGGAAAGUGCAACAGAGAGUAGACUGCCGCAGCAAUGCGGUAAAGGUGAAAGGGUGGAGUAAGAGCCCACCAGUCUUUAUAGCAAUAUAGAGAGCUUGUAAACCCAACAUGGCAGCAAGAAACAGAUGGUCAGCGUCUUAUAAUGCUACUGUUUCGCUAGAGAUACUAUGUAAAUAGUAAAGUAGAUUAAUGCUAUCAAAACAAAACCCGGCUUACGCUGUACCUAUUUU
rnacentral:RNase_P_RNA from 2 species